rnacentral:hammerhead_ribozyme from 1 species
AUCCAACUGAUGAGUUCCAAAUAGCAUGAAAUAUGCGUCCUGGAU